AGUCCUCACUUUCUCAAAUGAUCUAUAAAGGAAAGCUUAAAAGGAGAAGUCUUUUUUUGUAAAGUAGGCUCUAGAUUAUCCACAGUGCUUCUUUAUUAGUUUAGCUUAUCGAAACGUAUCUGAGGGAGCCUUAAGCUAUGAAGAUCACUCUUUUGUGAAAGUUUUGAUUUUGGUGUUCAGAUCUACAUGUGAUGGUUUUCCAUGCAAGAUUAGUAGCAGCCAGUGGAUUGUCAAUCAUAAACACAUUGCAUCUUUACAUGUAUGCUAUGUUCGGGGCAUAUUUAGAACAAAUUUCAGUACUGAACUCUGAUAUGGUCAAAUGUACUGAAUAUUAGGAUUUUUUUUCCCUUGCAUAUGUAUGACAAUAUCCAGUAUGUUUGAAGUUUGUGAAAUUA
rnacentral:misc_RNA from 1 species